rnacentral:rRNA from 1 species
GGUGGCGACCGGCGCGACGGGUGAGUAACGCGUAUGCAACCUACCUAUCAGAGGGGAAUAACCCGGCGAAAGUCGGACUAAUACCGCAUAAAACAGGGGCACCGCAUGGUGAUAUUUGUUAAAGAAAUUCGCUGAUAGAUGGGCAUGCGUUCCAUUAGGUAGUUGGUGAGGUAACGGCUCACCAAGCCGACGAUGGAUAGGGAACUGAGAGGUUGGUCCCCCACACUGGUACUGAGACACGGACCAGACUCCUACGGGAGGCAGCAGUGAGGAAUAUUGGUCAAUGGGCGGGAGCCUGAACCAGCCAAGUCGCGUGAAGGAAGAAGGAUCUAUGGUUCGUAAACUUCUUUUGCAGGGGAAUAAAGUGCAGGACGUGUCCUGUUUUGUAUGUACCCUGAGAAUAAGGAUCGGCUAACUCCGUGCCAGCCGCGGC